AACAGGAUUAGAUACCCUGGUAGUCCACGCCGUAAACGAUGAGUGCUAGGUGUUAGACCCUUUCCGGGGUUUAGUGCCGCAGCUAACGCAUUAAGCACUCCGCCUGGGGAGUACGACCGCAAGGUUGAAACUCAAAGGAAUUGACGGGGGCCCGCACAAGCGGUGGAGUAUGUGGUUUAAUUCGACGCAACGCGAAGAACCUUACCAGGCCUUGACAUCCCUUGCAAAGCUGUAGAGAUACAGUAGAGGUCAUCAAGGAGACAGGUGGUGCAUGGUUGUCGUCAGCUCGUGUCGUGAGAUGUUGGGUUAAGUCCCGCAACGAGCGCAACCCUUGCCUUCAGUUACCAGCAUUCAGUUGGGGACUCUGGAGGGACUGCCGGUGAUAAACCGGAGGAAGGUGGGGAUGACGUCAAAUCAUCAUGCCCCUUAUGGCCUGGGCUACACACGUACUACAAUGGCUGUUACAACGUGCAGCGACCUAGCGAUAGGAAGCGAAUCACUAAAAGACAGUCUCAGUUCGGAUUGAAGUCUGCAACUCGACUUCAUGAAGCUGGAAUCGCUAGUAAUCGCGGAUCAGAAUGCCGCGGUGAAUACGUUCUCGGGCCUUGUACACACCGCCCGUCAUACCAUGAGAGCUGGUAAUACCCGAAGCCGGUGGCCUAACCGCAAGGAAGGAGCCGUCGAAGGUAGGACUAGUGAUUGGGGUCAAGUCGUAACAAGGUAUCCCUACGAGAACGUGGGGAUG
rnacentral:rRNA from 1 species